rnacentral:rRNA from 1 species
UGAGGAAUUAUGCGCAAUGGACGAAAGUCUGACGCUGCGACGUCGCGUGGGUGAUGAAGGUCUUCGGAUCGUAAAACCCUGUCGAGAGGGAAGAAAGAGCGGGCGCUAAUAUCGCCUACUUCUGACGGUACCUCUGGAGGAAGCCCCGGCUAACUCUGUGCCAGCAGCCGCGGUAAUACAGAGGGGGCAAGCGUUGUUCGGAAUUACUGGGCGUAAAGGGCGUGUAGGCGGUAUGUUAAGUCUGGCGUGAAAGCUCUCGGCUAAACCGGGAGAGGUCGUUGGAUACUGGCAAACUAGAGGAUGGUAGAGGCGUGUGGAAUUCCGGGUGUAGUGGUGAAAUGCGUAGAGAUCCGGAGGAACACCAGUGGCGAAGGCGACACGCUGGGCCAUACCUGACGCUGAGGCGCGAAAGCUAGGGGAGCAAACGGGAUUAGAUACCCCAGUAGUCCCUGAGCGGGCUGGCAAGGCGCAU